rnacentral:lncRNA from 1 species
AUGUCGAGGGUUUGCUUUUGGGUUUGCACCAUUAGAAAUCGCAGGUCUAUAGUCUUGUACAUAUAUGUUUAUUUUAGGGGCUCACAUGUCAUUGUAGAAUAUUUUGUAUACCUGGCUACGUGUGCCACUGUAUGUAUGAAUUUAUUUUGCUUUUACGUUACAAAAAUUAUUUAUGCAGAGUUCUAUAAAUAUUGUUUUAUAAGAAAA